rnacentral:rRNA from 1 species
AGAGUUUGAUCAUGGCUCAGGACGAACGCUGGCGGCGUGCUUAACACAUGCAAGUCGAACGAACUCGGACUUCGGUCCAUAUGGGUGAGUGGCGAACGGGUGAGUAACACGUGAGAAACCUGCCCCGAAGUCGGGAAUAACUCAGAGAAAUUUGAGCUAAUACCGGAUGCCCUCUUCUGAUCGCAUGAUCGGAUGAGGAAAGAUUUAUCGCUUUGGGAGGGUCUCGCGACCCAUCAGCUAGUUGGUGAGGUAAUGGCUCACCAAGGCAUCGACGGGUAGCUGGUUUGAGAGAACGAUCAGCCACACUGGAACUGAGACACGGUCCAGACUCCUACGGGAGGCAGCAGUGGGGAAUCUUGCACAAUGGGCGAAAGCCUGAUGCAGCGACGCCGCGUGGGGGAUGAAGGCCUUAGGGUCGUAAACCCCUUUCAGUAGGGAAGAAAAUGACGGUACCUACAGAAGAAGCUCCGGCCAACUACGUGCCAGCAGCCGCGGUAAGACGUAGGGGGCGAGCGUUGUCCGGAUUUAUUGGGCGUAAAGGGCUCGUAGGCGGUUACGUAAGUCGGAUGUGAAAACUCGAGGCUCAACUUCGAGACGCCAUCCGAUACUGCGUUGACUUGAGUCCGGUAGAGGAGUGUGGAGUUCCUAGUGUAGCGGUGAAAUGCGCAGAUAUUAGGAGGAACACCUAUUGCGAAGGCAGCACUCUGGGCCGGUACUGACGCUGAGGAGCGAAAGCAUGGGUAGCAAACAGGAUUAGAUACCCUGGUAGUCCAUGCCGUAAACGGUGGGCACUAGAUGUGGGGACUUUCAACGGUUUCCGUGUCGUAGCUAACGCAUUAAGUGCCCCGCCUGGGGAGUACGGCCGCAAGGCUAAAACUCAAAGGAAUUGACGGGGGCCCGCACAAGCAGCGGAGCAUGUUGCUUAAUUCGAGGCAACGCGAAGAACCUUACCUAGGUUUGACAUGUACCGA